CCGAAGCCCAGGGAGGAGGCGGGGGAGCCCAGCUUGCGGCCAAGAACGGCCCAGCGGCGCCACGGGACUUGGGAAAGUUUGUGCGCGCUCCUCCGCGCCACGGCCACGCGCAGAGGAGACUCAGAGCCGGCCCCGGGCCCGGCCCGGAACCGCCACGCGCGGUUUAAGGGGAGUGGAGCAAUCUGUAGAGAUGUCCGUCUGAACCUCUGGAGCAAAGUCGCAGAAAGAAACAAGAGAAGAAAAUGAUGGGGGAAGGAAAGAAGGAACAGGGGACAGGGAUGGAAGUCAAGCUCAUCUGAACAGAACAAGAGUGACAGCUCGGUUUUAGAACCAUAAAAAUCUGAGAAGAGGCUGGGCGCAGUGGCUCACACAUGUAAUCCCAGCACCAUGAGAGGCCGAGGUGGGCAGAUCACCUGAGGUCAGGAGUUCAAGACCAGCCUGACCAACAUGGAGAAACCCCGUCUCUACUACAAAUACAAAAUUAGCCGGGCGUGGCGGCGCACACCUGUAAUCCCAUCUACUUGGGAGGCUGAGGCAGGAGAACUGCUUGAAUGCCAGAGGCAGAGGUUUCGGUGAGCCAAGACGCGCCAUUGCACUCCAGCCUGGGCAACAAGAGCAAAACUCCGUCUCAAAAAAACAACAAAAAAUAAUCAGAGACUCUCAACUCUACAAAUAAAACAUUCCACUUCUUUAUCUCAAUGCUGGCUAUAUGAGUGAGUUCAGUUAGUGAAAAUUCACUGAGCUAUAUACAUUAAAAAGUGCAUGUUUAUUAAACUUCCAUAAAAAGUUUACUUAGAAAAUGGAAACAAAUGUAUCUAACAAUGUCACAUCGGUGGCCUAAGCAUCAGAGAAUUAUGCAACUUUAAAACACAAUAAUUUGACAAUAUAAUCCAAAUGGGAUAUAUCCUAAUGUUAGUAUUUUAAGAAUAUAUUGUAUGAAAAAUACGUGCCAUGAAAAUGGCACUUACUCAUACGCUACAUACUCCCAAAAGUGUGUUUUAACAGGAAACUGUGGACAGACACAUGCUGAAUGUUUGUGAGAGUUAUCUGCAGGAGGGGGAAGCUCUGUAUUAUAUGAGGCUCUUUACUUUUCAAAGAUACCUCCAUCUAGAAAGGAAAUCAAAGAUGCUUAAGCUUCAUUGGCUACUACAAAUCAGUGAAAAGCAGAGUCACAAAAUUUAGAAUAGGUAAGCAAGUUAACAUCAUUAAGAACCAAGAUUUUAGUGUAAGAAAAUGAUACACAUUGAACUGACUGAUAUAUCUAAACACCAUCUCACGGCAGAGACUGGGGUUCCUUAGAAACAUGACUGACUCUAGGUCCAAGCAGAACACGGAUGAGGUGCAACACCCUCCUGUGACAGGCAGGAAGGGAGCAGUCACAGAGCAAGCGGUCACACCCAAACAUGACACAAGCCAACUUGGGUAGAACAACAGGAGCACCAAAAUACGGCUUCCACGGGUUGAAGCACGAUCACAUCCACAUCCACAGGUUUCUAAUACUGGGGGAAACGCUUCAAAAAUGAACUUCAACUUUGGAAGCUAAUAGUUUCAGUGCAUCCUAAACACUAUAAAGGAAAAAAAUCAUUCAUUUCUCCUUUCUCCCCAGCAGGAACCACAUUUCAGAACCUCCAAAACUGAUAUGGGAAAUCUUCUUUACGUAAGAAUAGAAUUAGAAAAAUCUUCACUUUGUAGUUGUCAGUUGUAGGCUGAACAAUGGCCUCCAAAGACAUUCAAGUCCUAAUUUCUGGAUUUGGAUAUGUUACAGACGAAUUAAGAAUCCUGAGACUGGAGAUCACUUUGGAUUAUAUGGGUGGGACCUAACCACAAUCCCCAGUGUCCUUUGGAUCAUGUGCUCCAAUGAUGGAGGAAGGGGCCACAGCCAAAAAAUGGCUGCCAUGAGCUGGAAAAGGCCAGGAAGCAGAUACUCUCCAGAGCUCCCUGAUGGCACCAGCUACCCAGACUCUAGACCAGUGAGACUGAUUUCAGCUAGUGUUGCAAUUUGGUACAGCAGCAAUAGGAAACUAAUACACCAACUAAAUAACGGGUACAAGCAACAAGCAAAUGGCCGUUAAACCCAGUAGAGAACUGGUUGAUAAAGAACUCUAUAAUUCAACCUACUGACACUGCACCCGACAUCGUGUGACCUGGUUGCUCAAUGUGCAACACAAAGCACUGUCUAGGGAAUAUCCUUGAAACCCGCCCCGCCCCCGCCAAAACCACCACCAACCUGAAACCAAUGAAGCACCCUGACCCAGCUACAGGAAAUACGAGGAUUAGAACACAUUAGACAGUGCUACAACACAGUCAACCAAAUCCCAAACUUGGGACAUUCCACAGCACAAAUGACCCUACUGCCUUCACAAAUAAAUGGCAUUAAAAACAAAAACAAAAAAAAAGGAAAAGAAUCUGCAAGUUAUAGAUUUUCAAAGAGCUAAGAGGCUUAAACCAAAUGCAAUGUGGAGACCUUCUUUGGAUUUCAAUUCAAGCAAACAAACUGUAAAAGGGCUUUAUAUGACAUUUGGAGAAAACCGAACACAAAAUAAAUAUUAGAUAAUAUUAA